rnacentral:rRNA from 1 species
GAUGAAUGCUGGCGGCGUGCCUAACACAUGCAAGUCGAGCGGUAAGGCCCUUCGGGGUACACGAGCGGCGGACGGCUGUGUAACGCGUGGGAACAUGCCCCAAAGUGAGGGAUAAGCUCCAGAAAUGGAGUCUAAUACCGCAUAUGAUCUUCGGAUUAAAGGAUUUAUCCGCUUUGGGAGUGGCCUGCGUACGAUUAGAUAGUUGGUGAGGUAAUGGCUUACCAAGUCUACGAUCGUUAACUGGUCUGAGAGGAUGAUCAGUCAGACUGGAACUGAGACACGGUCCAGACUCCUACGGGAGGCAGCAGUGAGGAAUCUUCCACAAUGGGCGAAAGCCUGAUGGAGCAACGCCGCGUGCAGGAUGAAGGCCUUCGGGUCGUAAACUGCUUUUAUAAGUGAAGAAUAUGACGGUAACUUAUGAAUAAGCACCGGCUAACUACGUGCCAGCCGCCGCCGUA